GUCUUCCCUUUCUCUAGUUCAUGACCAGUUAAAAUGAGCGUAAAAAUUGCAGUUUUCAUGCAGCAUCCCAAAUGACGCACUUAUCAACGCAUUAUGUCGAAUUUGGGGUUCUCUCUGGCUAGAAGAGUGCUGUAAUCAGCAGAGAUUGUUGGAGUGAAGCAGAUAUGGGGCUGAGCUGCUGUAGAAUGGCUGGCCCUUGCCCUCAGUGCAGAGAAAGCUGCGGGGACACCUGCCUUUGUGUCUGCCAUAGAGAGGAGCCCUGUGUGGAAGGCUGCUGUAAUCUGUGCUGUCAGUUCUGUCUGGACAGCUGCUUUCUUAUGUGCUCGGACAACUGCCGCUACACUCUGUGUUUCAUGUGCACCAGGGUCGCCCACUCCUGUGCUGCACUCCUGAGCACGGAGCAGCCCAUAUCUACACAAAAAUGAGAAGAAGUUCCACAGUCUCCUUUCCAAAUGGUAACCGUUUUCAGUAGUUUGCAUGUUAAUGUAAUCCUGAAGAGGAUAGUGUAAACUUGUUUUGGCUCUCUGUUCCUGGCAGAGGGCUCGAGGCAUCGUGACUUAACCCGAGCUCGAAUACCCCCUGGAGUUGUAGAGUUAUUGAUGAGUAGAUGGAGGAGACCUGAAACAGCCCGACUGUUGUUGAUCACUAAGGUUCUCGUUUUGAGGGGGCCAGUUGGUUUAGAUCACUCAGAGUUUACACCUGAAGAACUUAAUGGAAGCUAAUGGGUUAGAUGCAGACCUGUCUCACUUUAACUGAAACCACUUUCUGUAUGCCAAGAGACUGAGAAAAUAUUAAGGAAAUGAUUGUUCUACAGUGUAUUUACUACCUCUGUAAUACAGCCCAUGCAUUGUGUAUAUACUAGGUUGUACCAUUUGUUUGCAUUUGUAUUGCACAUUUAAUAUAUUGUAACACCAAAUACAACUCAUUCUGCAAACUAUAUAAGUGUCAUCUGUGGAAAUUUGUCUAGAUGAUCUAUUCAAAAUGAAAGAACUUGUGCACUCAUGCCAAAAAACAGGUUUCACUGACAUGCUACAAAAUGACUGUGCAUUUUUUUCAGAGGACAGGCAGGAAAAACUUGACUUGCACACCCUGUACAUCUUGCAGUCACAGGGGUAAAGUAUUUAUAUGUAAGAGUCCAUCUGGGUGUGUUUCAGUCCAGCCCUGUCAACAAAACAAGAAAAAUAAUUUGGGUACAUGAAUUUACUUAAAGAAAAGGACUUUUAGAAUUAUUUUUAAAAGGUGAAAAGAGGACAACCACAUACUGUACAAAAGAGAACAGUGGGGGACUGAAAGAAAGAAGAAUCUGAAAUUCUGAAGGCAUUUGGACAAGGUCUGAUCGAGAAGACUGGCCAUGGAGGUGGAUUACAAAGAUCCGCCGCCAAACUAUGAUGACGUUGUUACCCAGCAGCACACAAGCAACACUCAGCAGAGCCACUCGGCUGAUAAGAAGCAGGGAGAGGGCUGCUGUAUGCGAUGCUGCAUGAGUACUAAGAGAUGUUUGAUGAGUGCGGAGUGUGGACGAGCUCUCAACAUCGCCAGCGUGGUUGCCAUGUGUGGGAUGUGUAUUCGAAUGUUUGUCUAACAGAUUUCCUGUGGAUUGUUUCAUCCUGAUCUCUCAUCCAGUGGUGGCCUUCUCAAUUUAAGAAACAAAGACAACUGUUUUGUUCCAAAACCUAGUGAGCUGCCUAUGAGAGUGCGUUCAAGUCCUCCUGGGAAGUUCGUAUUACAAAGUUGGAAAUCGUCUGACAGAACGGACCCGUUCACUUGCUAGCGAAGGCAGGCCACAUAUAAUGAUGCAAAAUGUAGUUUUGUUGCAAACGCUUAUCGCUGCAUAAACCAUAAAAUUGUAUUUUCUGGCAAGUUUUAACGUUAUUCUUCAUUAACAGUGCAAAAAUGCAUACAAACUAAACUGUAGAGUCAAAAUCCACAAGCAAAAUUUAAUUCUUACCAAUAACAAUUUGCUUCCGCCAUUAUUCUUAAAUCGACACACCCCCCAACUCGGAAAGUCAGGGCUCAAAGAAAAUCCUGAGUUCCCCACUCAUGUUCAUGUGCACUUUAACUCUUAAAUACGAUCAUUCCGACAUGACUUGAAACAUUCAUUAGCAACAUUUAUGAGUCUGCCAACACGAAAGUUGUUUUGCCCAUGUAUCUAAGGCAGUAUUGUUUGAAUCAUUCACAGAUAAAGAAAUCCAAGAAUGCACUGCAACUGAAAUUUUCAUAAAAAUUGGCAGAUAGCAUUGAGGGAAAUGGUGAUUAUAAAGUAUAAUUAUAUAUAAUAUUUGUAUAAAGUUGGCAGUAGGCUACUGAUAAAUAUCAUUAGAAUAUAGUUCCAUCUUAUUAAUAAUCCCCUAUUUAACCAAAUAUAUUCACCAGUAUAUUGUUUUACAUGUUAUACUGUAGUAUUGAGUUGUUAGCUUAGCAACAUGCUAAUCUCAAACUGUUGGAAUGAACUGAGUGUUAGUUGAGCCUCUUCAUUUGAAGAUCACAAGUUGGGUGGUGUGCAUAAGCAACCAAUGACAAUUGCUGCUUAUGUGGAAUGUUUUAAAUCACUUAUGAGUUUAGAUUUUAAUUUAGAAUUUUAGGAUGCUGCCUUAGAUGGCAUUUGCAUUCUUAAACAGUAAACAAUGAAGCAGAUUGCUUGGUUUUUGCACAGAGCAUGUUGUCAUGGCCUUAUUCCAGUUCAAUGAAACAAUUAAUUUCACAUACUCUUUAUUAAUAAUGCAUGAUGACAACAGUAGUUAUUAGUCAGAACAGUAUACUCACACCAGUAUUUCUAUCUUUAUUUAAAAUGAAUGUUAAAUUGUGAGAAUGAUCCAGAAUAUACCAUAGAUGCAUCCAUUUAGAAAUGCUCAUUAGAAGAAAGCUUUUUCAUAAAGUGGAAUCAGUCAUGUGAUUGGAUGUGGCAUCCACCUCUGCAAUUCUGUAUCAUAAUUUCGCUACUUUCUAUUUAUGUUUAUCAUUUAUUUCUUCUACAAUGUACUAUUUUAAAGUAAUAUAAAAUUGAAUUAUGUUUAUAGAGAUGUGCUCCUAAAAAUGAAAUGUCAUUGAAGAAGAGGAUGACAAUACUGCCCAACAAAGGUAAAAUGCAGUAAAUAUGCCAACACUGAAAACCAUCUGUCAGCGGACAGAUCAAAGUCUUAGCACCCCAUUCCAACCAAAACAUGAUUUUAUUAAAAUCUACUUUUUUUUUUUUUUUUUUUUUUUUUUUGCACAGCAGCCCAUUAUGUAUUUUAGGAGAUGGGGAAGACGAUAUAUAGUAUAUGUACUGUGUAUCUGGAGCAGUGCUGGGUAUAUUACUUCUGAAUUGUAAUCAUUACCAGAUUACAUGCCUAAAAUUGUAAUCAAUUACAUAAUCUCUCAGAUUGCAUUUUUACAAUGAUCUUAAUCUGAUUGCUUUUGGAUAACUUCUGACCUUCAGUAAUUCUUGUUUAUUUAAUUUCACAUGCAUUUGAGUAGGAUAAACUUGUACCAUUUUUACAUAAUGUUGCUUAUAUGUAUUAAAGAAAACUUACUUAAUGGAUCAUAAUAUGAGAACUGAUAUGAUUUUAUGUGCAUGUAUGUGUUGGUGUGUGCGCAUUCAUGUGCUCAGUACAAAAGCAAUUUGAGUAACUAAAACUAACUGUUCAGAAAUCCCCCCCCCCCCCCACCUUUGAAAGCUGGUUUUCAAAACUUACACCAAAACCCUCUUACGUACAUACAUACAUACACACAUACAUACUUUGAGAUGACACUUUAAAUUUAGCUCAGGUGUGUAAAAAUGUAGAAAAUAUAUAAACAAACAGGCUCACGUUUCAUGCUGUUCUUUUGAAUGGCUAAUGCAGUAAAAUUCUUGAAUUUUAAAUGAAUAAUAGGCUACAUCAAGAUUUUAGGUUAGAAUUUAAUUAGUAGGCUAUAAUCAGCAUAUACAGGUCUUGUAAAAGGUCACCAUUUCCUUUAAGAUUCUUUUAAGAAUUUUUAAGCACAUUUUUAAAUUCACUAGUUCAUUUUAAAUGGUCCAGUGUAACAAUUUUUAAAUGUAUUUAUCUAUUUCAAUUACUUUGAUUUGCGUGCAGCGUAAGGUGGCUUUAAUGUGUUUUAAUAUAUUUUUUUUAUUUUAUUGUCUGUCAAUGUAUGCACAUUCCUUAUAGAGCACACUUGGUCCUCUUAUUGGAGAAUAUGGUUGCUAAUAUUAAGCUCAGUUCUCUGUUAUUGAGCACACGUGUGACUCUUCCUUGUGAUUGGUGCGUGUUGAGUAUUUUGUUGAUAAAUGGUGUUUAUAAAGAGGAUGUUGUUUUUUAUGCAGCAGGAUCAACUCUGCAGCUUUGUUCUCUCUCUCCCAGUUAGUUGUGCAGUUGCGUUUUAUUCUUGCGCCUGUACCCAAUGGUACCAAUAUUAAUCUGUAUAUAUUAUUAAAUUGAAGUGCAUUGAUGUGGUGAUCUUAGUGUAUGAUAAGAGCCUUUCUUGCUGAAGUUAAGGCAUUUAUUUGGGCUUUAAUGGGGUGGUUUAUAAAGGCUUCCAAUUUUAUGUUUUUAAGUGUAUUCAUAAUAAAUUUCCCAUUGCAGGUGUGGUGUGGCCCUGUAAAAUGCUAGCUGCUGUUUCUACAUACCUGUUUCUUCACAUCUGUUCCAGCGUGCUGUUUCAAAGUCACUUCAUUGUUUGUUUUACCAAACUUGUUGCACUACAUUUGUUUCUGCCUUGUAUAGUGCAAAACAUAAAAUAAAGACUGUGUUCUGUAUGUUCCAGAAAUGAGAACCUGACAAAUGUAGGCUAUACAUACAAAAAAUAUUUUAUAAUGAAUGCUUGCCAAAUAAGAUCGAUCUCUAACAAGUUGGGCUCGGGUGCAUUCAAUAAGAAAUCAGAUCUAGAUCAGGUUUCAUGAUAACGUGGGAAAUUGUGCUAUAAAAGUAACUUACUCUUACAUUUACACCAGCAUGUAUAAUCCACAUUAAGUACUGUAGAACUGGAGCUGGCACAUCCAAAGAUGCAAAACUAAAUCUGAAACUUCUACCUUAUCUCCAGAAAUUAGUUGGUUUGUUAUUUGUUUGACAUUCGGUUUCUCCCACCCGUGCUCUCUGGAGCUGACAAUGUUACAACGAUAUCAUUAACAAAAUUAAGUGAAAUAAUAUGUGACUAGAUUAUACAUGCAUGAAACAUUGAAAUCAAAUGGUCAACGCUUGUUGUUGCUGGAGAAUUAUGCCUAAAAAAGCUCCUAGAGUCUUUCAUUGACUAGCACUUGUAAAGGACCAUCGGAAAAUUCCACCCACAGCACUAAAACUUUUUUUUAAUAACAGUGUUUAAGAUAGAACAUGCAAGGCAGUUGAAUUGAACACUUUUACACCAGCGACAUUGUAGCAUAGUGUGUGGACUUUUCAGACGGUCUCUUAUGUACCAUAAGUGAGUAUUUAACUUUACCUGGCAAAAAAGUAUGCAGUCAUAAUGCAUUUGUUUUGUUUAAAUAUAAUUUGUUUGGUUAAUUUACUAUAAUGUGGGGUCACUGAACUCUCAGUGGGAUGGAUUUUGUCUGUUGAUGGUGUAAAUAUGUAAAAACUAGCCCCAGUCUCCCCUACUUAGUUAGUCAGUCAGCCAAAAAGAUAGUUAAGUCGGUGGUGAUACUUUAACUGAAUUUUGUCAGGAAACAGUCAGUCUGUGGUCUUUGAGAAUGUACAUAACUGUAUGAAUAUGAAUUUAGAAUGGUAGAUUAAACCCAUCUGCCUCAUAGCCGCACAUAAACAGUAUUUAAUGAUGGAACACAAUUAAUACCCUCUAAGUUAAGUUGAUCCAACUGGCAUGUUGUAUCUUCUAAAAAAUAUGAUGAAAUCUACGCUGAGCUGUGCAAAAUAAUAAAGAUCUAUCUGACAUUAGCAAAUGCGAAUGAAUGUGAAGUCUUUACUUAGGAGAUUUAAUACAGACGGCAUGUGUUUGCUCUUUGCAGUUUAAUUAGAUGCUAAUUGUCUUAGAGAAAAAUGUGUUUUUAUUAUUUUUCAGUCAUUAAGUGAGAAUUAUUUAUG